rnacentral:rRNA from 1 species
AUUGAACGCUGGCGGCAGGCCUAACACAUGCAAGUCGAACGAGUGGCGGACGGGUGAGUAAUGUCUGGGAAACUGCCUGAUGGAAGGGGAUAACUACUGGAAACGGUAGCUAAUACCGCAUACCAUCGGAUGUGCCCAGAUGGGAUUCGCUAGUAGGUGGGGUAAAGGCUCACCUAGGCGAGGAUCCCUAGCUGGUGUGAGAGGAUGACGAGCCACACGGGAACUGAGAAACGGUCCAGACUCCUACGGGAGGCAGAAGUGGGAAAGAUUGCACAAUGGGCGCAAGCUUGAGGAAGCCAUGCCGCGGGUAGGAAGAAGGCCUUGGGUUUGUAAAGUACUUUAAGCGGGGAGGCGUUACCCGAAGAAGAAGCACCGGCUAACUCCGUGCCAGCAGCCGCGGUAAUUC